AUAAUAACUCCGCCUGUAGCCCCUCCUGGGGCUACUGCCGGUCCCAAGCCCGGGUAAAGGAGGAGGGUUGG
ncrna:Schistosoma mansoni Puerto Type-P1 twister ribozyme ribozyme sequence